UACAGAGGGGGCUAGCGUUAUUCGGAAUUAUUGGGCGUAAAGGGCGCGUAGGCGGCCAUGCGUGUCUUCCGUGAAAUCCCUCGGCUUAACUGAGGACGUGCGGAAGAAACUGCAAGGCUCGAGUCCGGGAGAGGGGGGUGGAAUUCCCAGUGUAGCGGUGAAAUGCGUAGAUAUUGGGAGGAACACCGGUGGCGAAGGCGGCCCCCUGGACCGGUACUGACGCUGAUGCGCGAAAGCGUGGGUAGCAAACAGG
rnacentral:rRNA from 1 species